AAAAAAACAUCGAUGCAUCGAACAUCGAUGUUUUUCUGCCGAUGUUUACUGAUGUUUUCCGAUGUUUUUGCUGCUACCGAUGUUUUGCAAAACAUCGGAAAACAUCAGUAAACAUCGACAGAAAACAUCGCAAAACAUCGGUAGUUUAAUUUCAUAUCACUGCGUAUUUGUCUUCUGUAAGCAGCAACACAGCAAUGCCAAAGCAACCCGUUGUGUGUUUGGGAAGGUAUGAGGAGUACAGUCACAGACAUAUACCUUAUUAAUAUUACAGAAUAUACAGUACAAUCUCAUACACAAAUUCUCAUAAAUACAAUUGUCCAUGUCACUUCAUGUCAAUGAAUAUGACGACAAGAAAAUUACAUUAGCAACUAAGAAUAGACUAUUGCACUUGUAAACUCGAACCCACCAAAAAGGAUGAAGCAAUAAACUAUUUGCUUUAUUGCUGCCAAGUACCUAAGUAAAUGCACUGAAA